GACGAACGCUGGCGGCGUGCUUAACACAUGCAAGUCGAACGGAAAGGCCCUGCUUUUGUGGGGUGCUCGAGUGGCGAACGGGUGAGUAACACGUGAGUAACCUGCCCUUGACUUUGGGAUAACUUCAGGAAACUGGGGCUAAUACCGGAUAGGAGCUCCUGCUGCAUGGUGGGGGUUGGAAAGUUUCGGCGGUUGGGGAUGGACUCGCGGCUUAUCAGCUUGUUGGUGGGGUAGUGGCUUACCACGGCUUUGACGGGUAGCCGGCCUGAGAGGGUGACCGGCCACAUUGGGACUGAGAUACGGCCCAGACUGCUACGGGAGGCAGCAGUGGGGAAUAUUGCACAACGGGCGGAAGCCUGAUGCAGCAACGCCGCGUGCGGGAUGACGGCCUUCGGGUUGUAAACCGCUUUCGCCUGUGACGAAGCGUGAGUGACGGUAAUGGGUAAAGAAGCACCGGCUAACUACGUG
rnacentral:rRNA from 1 species